rnacentral:lncRNA from 1 species
GUAAUUAUGAUUGCCCAUUAAUAUAGGCCUUGAGAUACGAACAUUCUUUGUGAAGAAUAUGGGCUUUGAGACUGCCAACAUUACUUCUGUGAAAGGGAAAAAACCCUGGGAAUUAUGUUUUUGUAUGAUCCUGGAUUUUUUGAUCUCAUGUAUAUGAUUUGCAUCCUUGCUAGAAAAACAACAAAAUAAAACAAACAAACAAACAAACAAACAAAAAAGAGAAAAUAAUGAGAAGGAAAAAAAACCCUCAAGUUCAUAUUACCACUGUUGCUGGAUUCUCAUCCCUAGAACCUCUGUGGUCUUCUGAUGCUCAGCAAGUGUCCAUAAGUGUGUACUUACGGGUAUUUGAAUUCAACAGAAUAGUCCAUUUAUAAGAAAACACCCACAUGCAUGACCCACUGUACAUAUGCACACUCACA